rnacentral:rRNA from 1 species
CCUACGGGAGGCAGCAGUGAGGAAUAUUGGUCAAUGGACGAGAGUCUGAACCAGCCAAGUAGCGUGAAGGAUGACUGCCCUAUGGGUUGUAAACUUCUUUUAUAUGGGAAUAAAAUGUUCCACGUGUGGGAUUUUGUAUGUACCAUAUGAAUAAGGAUCGGCUAACUCCGUGCCAGCAGCCGCGGUAAUACGGAGGGUCCGAGCGUUAUCCGGAUUUAUUGGGUUUAAAGGGAUCGUAGGUGGAUUGUUAAGUCAGUUGUGAAAGUUUGCGGCUCAACCGUAAAAUUGCAGUUGAAACUGGCAGUCUUGAGUACAGUAGAGGUGGGCGGAAUUCGUGGUGUAGCGGUGAAAUGCUUAGAUAUCACGAAGAACUCCGAUUGCGAAGGCAGUUCACUGGACUGCAACUGACACUGAGGCUCGAAAGUGUGGGUAUCAAACAGGAUUAGAUACCCCGGUAGUC